rnacentral:rRNA from 1 species
UACGUAGGGGGCAAGCGUUGUCCGGAUUUACUGGGCGUAAAGCGCGUGUAGGUGGCUGGGUAAGUCUGCUGUGAAAGCUCCUCGCUUAACGGGGAGAGGUCAGUGGAAACUACUCGGCUUGAGGACGGUAGAGGAGAGUGGGAAUUCCCGGUGUAGUGGUGGAAUGCGUAGAUAUUAGGAAGAACACCAGUGGCGAAGGCGACUCACUGGUCCGGUACUGACGCUGAGGUGCGAAAGCGUGGGGAGCAAACAGG